UCCCAUCCACUGAGAGACUCCGCUGAGCUUUGCAGAGCGGACCAAUCACGUGCGGCUUGAACAGAGUGAGACGUCAGACGCCGAAAGGUUCACCGCGUGCAUUCAAAGCCACAGAUAUGCUAGGAUUUCUGCGCACGGAGACCAGGAGGAAGUUGUCCAGAGUCAAAGUCCACUCCUGAAACUGAAAGACAAGGUCAUCCUGAUGAUCUUCAACAAAUUGGUCCACGGUGUCUUUCAAGUCCUGCAGCUCCCUCAUGAUCUUCUCCAGGUCUCUCAGCUGAGACGGCAGAUGAACGGUCAGUGCUGGCAAACUGAGCGAGUAGAGGCAAGCUGCGUCCUCCUGCCCGUGUCCACAGGGUUCCUCUAGUUGCAGUGUUGCAGCACAUGGCCCAGACCCCUUGUCUUCUGAUGGGUAUCCUUGACCAGAGCCUACUGUUGUCCAAAAGAGGCUUGAAAAGACGAAAUACAUGCAUGGUGCUGUUAACUUCAUCGUGUCCCAAGGCUCCUGCCCAAUGGAAGCCAAGAAAUGUCAGCUUUACCGGAGAAGACCACUUGAUUCAAGACCGGAGUAAACAUCUGACCAUCAGCCCCAGCUUCAGUGCCUGAGCUUCUUGGCAGACCACUCCAUCUCCAAUAACUUUGGGCAGAGGAAUCACUUGUUUAUCAUGUCUACUCCGUGCAUAAGUGUCCCAUUAGCAGCUGGACUAGAGCAAAACCUAAUGACUGUCGUUGUGCGGUGCCAAGCCAUUUGUAAUAGCACACUCACUCUGCCUAACUAAAAGGUACAGUAUGAGGCUACCUGGAAAAUAUUGUUCUAUAGACUCACACGUUGCAUGCGAAAAACAAAUAAAAAGGAUCACUUAGCAAAAUGCUUUCGUGACACAAUGUCCCCCAAACUCCCUACGAGUACUGUAUAAAGUAUGUGAUUAAUUAAGAGACAAACAAAUUCACCUCAUGCAGUGAUAUAUAUGUAUAUUACAUAUUAAUGAAGGUUCUACAGUAUAUAUCAGUGGUUUUCACAGUGGGGGCGGUGGCCGCCAGGGUGCGCUAAAACGAAAUUGAAGUGGAAUAAGAAAAAUAGUUACAUACAAUUACAAUUUGCACCUGUUAUCAAGCUACUCUGCCCCUCAAGCUUGCGUAUAGCUAGCUAGCGCAAACACACUAGCUAGCGCAAAAUGGACAACACAUUUCAUUUGGAUUAGGAACUCCUUUACCUUCUUUGAUUUCUUUCUUCUGUUCCUAUUUGUCAACAGUAUUAUUCAGUGUGUUAAUUUUCUUAUGCUAAACAAAUGUAUUAAUUAUUGACUAGCAAAAAAAGCUUCAUUCAAAGUUAUGGUAGAUCGGAAAAAUCAAGAAAGUGUGAAUCGCAUAUUUUUUAUUAUUAUAUUAUAUUAUUAAUUUGUGUUAACAGUUGUGAACAUUCAGUAAAAAGUAACAUCAGAGCUGCAGCCUUGAGCAGAAGGGUGGUAUAGUACUUAGCAGCUUAGAAUAUUUAAGAUAGAAACUGACUAUUGUACAUAAUAAUAAUAAAUUUGACUGAAAAUCUGCUUUAAUAUAAUGGUAAAUUAUUCACUACAGAUGAAGUUUUUAAGAUUAUGGUGCAUGUUUCAACAUGAAACAUUUGGUGCACAGGGAUUGGAAGAGAACAACUCCACUGAAUAGCAUUGAUAUUUUUAACUAGCCAGAGGUCUCGGUACACCAAAGCAGCUGUUGGUGGGCUCUCUUCAUGGCCUAAAUAUCACAGUUCCUUAGGGGCCUUGGACAUUUGUGGCGCCAGAGCUGGGGCUAAAGAGAAGGGCUUAGACAUGUACUGCAUGUAAUGUUGUGUGAUUAUUUAUUUGGUCUUGGUCUCAGACUCGAGGCCUUUGACACCGUUGUGGAGAGGGGGACACUGAACAAACUCUUAGCCAUCAUGGACAACAAUGAGCACCCUCUCCAUCAUACUGUAGACAGACAACGGAGUGCCUUCUCUCAUAGGCUGCUCCAGCUCCACUGUCGUAGGGACAGAUACAGGAAAUCCUUCUGUGAAUGUCUGUGUCUGAUUUACACAAUAGAUAGAUAGAUAGAUAGAUAGAUAGAUAGAUAGAUAGAUAGAUAGAUUUACUUCUAAUUACUUAAAGAAGUAAUUAGAAGUAAAUGAAGAGAUAAUGUGGUACAGACAACAGAUAUGAUGAUGGCAGCCCAUGUCUAUGCACCGGCCCCUGCUUGUGCCUUUGGAACACAUCUGCAAUUCGAUUUGAUUUGAAUAUAUAUAUAUAUAUAUAUAUAUAUAUUUAGUUCUCCCUGUUUAACCACGGAAACUUAAUUGGAAUUCUUCAAUAAGUCCUGUAGGUAGAGCAGAAAUUGAUUCAAAGUUGACUUGACCUGUACAUUUAAUUAUUGGAACAGAGCGUUUACGUGAAGUUAGCACCAUCUAUAGGCCAAAGAGGAGGUGCUACAUGUUCAUCAUGUACAUGUGACACCAGAAUACCAUAAUACUGUACUGUAUUAAUUAAUACUGCAUACUCCAUCUUGAAUGUGCUAGUAUAACUAAGCUGGGUUGUGUCAAUAUUCAGUCAUCCUGUCCUGCGUGUAUUUUGUUUUUGACCUUUUUUUUUGGCGAUCGGUCAAAUUGUUUCGGGGUAAAAAUAUUUACCCGUUGCUCAGUUACUCCGAUGUGUGUAUCAAAAUUUAAAGUUUCAUUUGUUCUUGUAUAUAUUAAAAAUAUUUUUACAACCAAACCCAGCUUCUUAUUUACACAGAGAACACAGAGAAGUCCUGUAAAAAUCUAAUAGAAGAAUCCAUCUCCACCCCAACCCUGUCUCCUUCUUUCGCCUUCACAUCCACUUGUUUAUAUAAUAGUCUGCUGUGCUGUGUCCAGAGGAAUUUGUACACACUGAUGAUCUUCACUGACAAUGGCUUGGUCUUAAAUGUGAUUUGUUUAUACCUCUUGUUCAUUCAGUUACACACUGUGCAGACUAUUUACCAUGUGCUAAGGGGAAGAUGACACCGUUUCCAGCAUAACAUGGAUCAUCUCUGGUUUCUAUUAUAAAAGACAGCACUUUCAAAGCAGCUUUCGCAAGCAGCAAAAAAAAAAAAAAGAAGAAGAAGAAAAGAAAAUCACCUUACUAGUAAAACAAAAUACAUUUUCCUUACCCUUUCCCUCCCUUUUCCACUUCUCAUACCAUGUCAACUAUAAAUACUCAUUCAUCACAUUUGACUUAUGUAUGCAUUUACAUUAAAGAACCCAGUAAUGGGACAUUAAACUGUUUUUAGAUGAUUUCCAAGCCUUUUAGACUUAGUCUAAGACCGAUGACUGUCAGAGACAGAGACUACAUUUACAUUCUUAUACU